CGUAGGGGGCAAGCGUUGUCCGGAAUUACUGGGCGUAAAGGGCGUGUAGGUGGGUAAUUAAGUCAUGGGUGAAAACUGCGAGCUCAACUUGCAGACUGCCUAUGAAACUGGAUAUCUUGAGGGCAGGAGAGGAAAGUGGAAUUCCUAGUGUAGCGGUGAAAUGCGUAGAUAUUAGGAGGAACACCAGUGGCGAAGGCGACUUUCUGGACUGUCCCUGACACUGAGGCGCGAAAGCUAGGGGAGCGAACGGGAUUAGAUACCCCGGUAGUCCUAGCCGUAAACGAUGGGUACUAGGUGUGGGAGGUAUCGACCCCUUCCGUGCCGGAGUUAACACAUUAAGUACCCCGCCUGGGGAGUACGGCCGCAAGGUUG
rnacentral:rRNA from 1 species